rnacentral:rRNA from 1 species
GACGAACGCUGGCGGCGUGCUUAACACAUGCAAGUCGAACGGAAAGGCCCUGCUUGCAGGGUACUCGAGUGGCGAACGGGUGAGUAACACGUGGGUGAUCUGCCCUGCACUUCGGGAUAAGCCUGGGAAACUGGGUCUAAUACCGGAUAGGAGCCAUUUUUAGUGUGAUGGUUGGAAAGUUUUUUCGGUGUAGGAUGAGCUCGCGGCCUAUCAGCUUGUUGGUGGGGUAAUGGCCUACCAAGGCGGCGACGGGUAGCCGGCCUGAGAGGGUGGACGGCCACAUUGGGACUGAGAUACGGCCCCGGCUCCUACGGGAGGCCGCAGUGGGGAAUCUUGCCCGAUGGGCGCCAGCCUGAUGCAGCGACGCCGCGUGGGGGAUGACGGCCUUCGGGUUGUAAACUCCUUUCGCUAGGGACGAAGCUUUUUGUGACGGUACCUAGAUAAGAAGCCCCGGCUAACUACGUG